rnacentral:rRNA from 1 species
UACGGAGGAUUCGAGCGUUAUCCGGAUUUAUUGGGUGUAAAGGGUGCGUAGGCGGACUGGUAAGUCAGCUGUGAAAGUUUACGGCUCAACCGUGAAAUUGCAGUUGAUACUGUUGGUCUUGAGUAUACAUGAGGUGAGCGGAAUUUCUGGUGUAGCGGUGAAAUGCUUAGAUAUCACAAAGAACUCCAAUUGCGAAGGCAGCUCACUGGACUAUAACUGACACUGAGGCACGAAGGUGAGGGUAGCAAACGGG